GAUGAAGAACGUAGCGAAAUGCGAUAAGUAGUGUGAAUUGCAGAAUUCAGUGAAUCAUCGAAUCUUUGAACGCACAUUGCGCCCCAUGGUAUUCCGUGGGGCGUGCCUGUUCGAGCGUCAUUUACCCCCUCAAGCUCCGCUUGGUGUUGGGCGUCUGUCCCGCUUCGCGCGCGGACUCGCCCCAAAGGUAUUGGCAGCGGUCGUGCCAGCUUCUCGCGCAGCACAUUGCGCUUCUCGAGGCACCGGUGGGCCCGCGUCCAUCAAGCUCACCCCCCCAGUUUGACCUCGGAUCAGGUAGGGAUACCCGCUGAACUUAAGCAUAUCAUAAGCGGAGGA
rnacentral:misc_RNA from 1 species